rnacentral:lncRNA from 10 species
CAAAAAAAAAAAAAAAAAAAAAAAAAAAGGAAAAAAAAAGAAAAGGCGAAGAGGAAAAAAAAAGGAAAGACAGUGUUCCUUAAAAUGUAAUUAAGUCUGCUGGAGUCACUACCACUUGAGUGGUUUCAUUUACGUGAAGGAGGAGGAGGGGGAGGAGGAGGAGGGUAUUGGUAGCUCCCGGAGGCUGUGCAAACUGUUGUGACAUCAGUGGCUGUGGCUGCUGCCCAGACCGGCCUAUCCCACUAAACUG